UGGGGAAUAUUGCGCAAUGGGCGAAAGCCUGACGCAGCGACACCGCGUGCGGGAUGAAGGCCUUCGGGUUGUAAACCGCUUUCGGCAGGGAAGAAGCGAAAGUGACGGUACCUGCAGAAGAAGCUCCGGCUAACUACGUGCCAGCAGCCGCGGUAAGACGUAGGGAGCGAGCGUUAUCCGGAUUCAUUGGGCGUAAAGCGCGCGUAGGCGGCUUUGCAAGUCGGGUGUGAAAACCAGAGGCUCAACCUCUGGCCUGCAUCCGAAACUGCAUCGCUAGAGGUAGGUAGGGGAGAUCGGAAUUCCUGGUGUAGCGGUGAAAUGCGCAGAUAUCAGGGAGGAACACCGGUGGCGAAGGCGGAUCUCUGGGCCUUACCUGACGCUGAGGUGCGAAAGCUAGGGGAGCGAACAGGAUUAGAUACCCUGGUAGUCCUAGCCGUAAACGUUGGACACUAGGUGUGGGCGGUCAUCAACCCGUCCGUGCCGCAGCUAACG
rnacentral:rRNA from 1 species